GCGGGGGUUUGUGAUUCGAACUUGAACAAACGGAGGUCUGCGAUUCAACCCCAAGAACACUACAUCAAUUCGUUCAAACGGAGGGAAUCGUCUACUAAAGUCUAAAGUAACGCCAUCCAAAUUUACUCAUCAGCUGGACACAUAAACUGUCCCCACGAAAUCCGACUCAGCAGCUCAGGAAGUGAAAAAACUUGAUAUUAUUUUCCAAAAUGCCAUUAUGAGGAACGCAAGUGUUUCUCGUGAUGAGGAACUGGGUGCCCCCCUACACCACUACCUCUAUAGCCAUUGGUGGGACUUCAUAUGGGUGCUUGUUGUGUUGUUGCUCUAUUAUUUGAUGAGAGUGGUUUUUUAUUUUUUUGGUUGUUUUUCAGGUGGCUUGCUAGACUUUGGAAUCUUUCUUCUCUCUAACUCUUUGGUAUGUACUCCUUCUAUUUAAAAAAACUUGCUCCACUCUCCAUAUUUGAAAAGGUUUUACAAUAUUUUAUUUAUUUCUCUCAACUAAUAGUCCCAACACAAAUAAUAUUUUAUUAAUUUUAUAUUCUCUCUCCUCCAAUUCUCUUAAAUACUUUUACUUUUUAUAAUUUUUUAUUCUUCCACCUACCCCAUUACCAUUGACGAAUCUACAUGUGUGCGUGCUGGGUCACGUGACUCAGUAGGAAAAAAAAAUUUAUUAACAAAAAAAAAAAAAAAAAAAAACAACGGAACAACCAAUGAACCAAACGAAACUCAAAGUCUCAAACGACACAACUCUAACUCCCUCUCUCACUCUCUCACAUCAAUUCUGAUCGCGGACGCUGGACGAGCCACCAGCCCACCGUACCAGUACCGCAGUACGCACCAGCCACCGGGCCUUGGAUCUAUGGCAACCGGUACAGGUCUGGCGCGCCGCCACACCGCCUUCCACCACCGACCGAAGUGAGCAAGUGACUACCGUUAAAGCAUAGCAAGGUAUUAUUGUAUUAAAAUUGAAAUUAUGAACUAUUUAAUUUGUUAUUUAGUUUUAAUUUUAAUAAUGUAUAAUUUCAUUCAUUUGAUUGAAUUGUUGAUUUGUUAUUCAUUAUUGUGUUCAUUAAUUAAUCAAUUAUAAUUUCAGUCUUUUAUAAUUUCAUAGUCUAGACACUUUGACGGGUUGUUCAAUAUGUUCAUUGUGGUGUUGAAAUGUUGAAUUGAACUGAACUUUAUUUGGUAAAAUUGGUACUUUGUAGUCUAAAUUAGUUGAUUAUUGACCUUAUUGUUUUAUACUUUGAUAGUUUGAUUUUAUUUCAGAUUUGAUUGAUAUUUGAUUGUAUUAUUUGUAUUCAAAUGAACUGAAAUACUGUAUAUUUGAUUGUAUAUUUGAAUUGCUGGAUUUGUUAUUUAUUAAAUGAUUUUCAAAAUGAAGCGGAAACGUACUACAAAUAAAAUGCAUAAUAUCGCUAGUUUCUUCACUAAAUGUAAUCCUCCUAGUCAUCAAUAAUUCAGGGUGACAAGCUCUGAAAUCCUGGAUCCGCCACUACCUCCAUAUUUUAUUACUUUCUCCAAUUUCUCUUGAAACUCCGCGCAUGGAGAAAUGGAGCAAGUAUUUAAAAACGUAGGGAACAAUUUGUUUCCAAAGUCUAACAAGCCACAUGCAAAAACAACCAAAACCCGUAUCAUCACACAUUAU